UUAUUUGUUAUAUAGAUUUGUUGUUAUAGCGGCACUAGAAAUACAUGUUUAAGAAAAAAUUUAACUCCUUACCUAUCACGGUUCAUGAGUUACAACCUAGUGACAGACAGACAGACAGAUAGACAGAUAGACAG